rfam:Triticum aestivum genome assembly, contig: Triticum_aestivum_CS42_TGACv1_scaffold_062131_1DL
GGAGUACUCCCUCUGUCCUAAAUUACUUGUCGCAGAAAUGGAUGUAUCUAGACGCAUUUUUAGUUCUAGAUACAUUCAUUUCUAUCCAUUUUUGUGACAAGUAAUUCGGGACGGAGGGAGUAGUAU